rfam:Cavia porcellus supercont2_32 genomic scaffold, whole genome shotgun sequence.
GGGGAUUUAGCUCAGCGGCAUAAGCACCUGCCUGGAAAGCAUGAGGUCAUGAGUUCAAUCUCCA